rnacentral:rRNA from 1 species
GACGAACGCUGGCGGCGUGCCUAAUACAUGCAAGUUGAGCGCUGAAGGUUGGUACUUGUACCAACUGGAUGAGCAGCGAACGGGUGAGUAACGCGUGGGGAAUCUGCCUUUGAGCGGGGGACAACAUUUGGAAACGAAUGCUAAUACCGCAUAAAAACUUUAAACACAAGUUUUAAGUUUGAAAGAUGCAAUUGCAUCACUCAAAGAUGAUCCCGCGUUGUAUUAGCUAGUUGGUGAGGUAAAGGCUCACCAAGGCGAUGAUACAUAGCCGACCUGAGAGGGCGAUCGGCCACAUUGGGACUGAGACACGGCCCAAACUCCUACGGGAGGCAGCAGUAGGGAAUCUUCGGCAAUGGACGAAAGUCUGACCGAGCAACGCCGCGUGAGUGAAGAAGGUCUUCGGAUCGUAAAACUCUGUUGGUAGAGAAGAACGUUGGUGAGAGUAGAAAGCUCAUCAAGUGACGGUAACUACCCAGAAAGGCACGGCUAACUACGUG